GUCACUAGGUAAUCUGACUGCAGGAAAGCAGUAGCUACACAGCGAUGUUAUUGGAAACACAAGGAUUUUCUGGUAAACAGGUUAAACUGGGUUUCUGAUGAUGCUGACAUGGGGUCAGAGCUACUAAACUUUAACAGAAAUGAUGGAGUCCUAAAUUAAUCAGUAACAAAAAUUACACAAAGUUUCCUGACAUUGGGGAGGUGAAUAAACGGUUCCCAAGGUUUCAUUCUCAACACAAAGGAAACUCUCACUGACUUGACAUGUUCUGGUUUUGAAUUCAGGCUGCAAGGUAAGAAUCCUACCAGGGAUUAUUCAUGUAGGAUGUUGGUAGAAAGUUGAAGAUACAGAGCCACUUGUCAUCAGAAAGGUACUCUCUCAGCAGAACCGAAAAUAUUUCAAUGACUUGACAUCUUCUGGUUGUGAAUUCAGGCUACAAGGGGUCAUUGCCCUGAAAAUGAGUCUCUCUGGGGAGAGAGAGGAGGGCGGCCAUGCCUCGAAAAUGAGUCUCUCUGGGGAACAUGACACCAAAGCUAAGAGGAUCCAUUUUGAGACGACAGAGCAGAAAAGACUAUAUGGAGAUUAUUGAAAAAUAAAACCAAUCAAGCAGGAGAGACCAGCCUCCCCUGUUCCCAGCUGUGUGUCCAUGAAGAGUGACUGGUCUAUGGAUCGUCCUAUAGUGUUUAGAGAGGGAGACUUUUCUACUGAACAAAGGUAAGAAGAACUCAUGGGUCCUGGUCAGUGAGUUAAACAACACUGUCUCUAGUCAUUUCUCCUCCCAUUUUCCAAAUCCUUUUGGUUGUUUUCAUAAUCCAUAGGCUAAUCCUUUUGUCCAUUUUCAUAGUCCUAAAACAAUAUUAAACAAACACAACA